rnacentral:lncRNA from 1 species
GCAAAAUCAGGAAUGACAUAACAUAUUGAACAUGUACAGCCACUCGAUAAAUCUCAUUUGCCAGUACAGAGCACUUCACACACCAUGUGCAGAAACUAGGUUGUUCUGAUUGAAAUAGAUCAACCUAUUUUGACUUCCUGUUUCCAUACUGAAUCAUAGAGCCAGCGAUCGUAUAGAGGUAUGCUCCUAAAGACGAAGAUGUUCACAUAUUAUGGCAAAUUGGUGGUACAUAAGACAAUUCAAUCAAUGAUUAGUUGGGAGUUCAGUCAUGGCUUCAAAAAUUCCCUCUUCUGGGGUCGUGAAAAAGCUCAUCUGCAAAGCAUCAAACGAGUCUUCGAUGAAAAGACCAGUUAUGAAAAUAUUAGGUAAUCUAUGAUUUGCAAGAAUAAUAUAACCGAUGGUCACCCGCUCACUUGCAACGUGCUGUGAGGGCACAAGUUCUUCGAUAGUCAAAUGUCCAUAUUUAUUAAUGAUUAGUCAUAUCAUGAAUUUCAUUUUGUGGCGUAUUAACUAGGACAGCUAUAGUCUAGGCUCUAUCUUACCAUUCUCAUCGUCCUCUCCACUUUGAGUUGUAAAGAACGGAGUGAGGUAGUUCCUAUCUAGUGCUGUAAAUGACGUGGUGCUGCAGGAAAGAACCCAGAACUUUAAAUUAAAGAACUUGAAUAUGAAUUUAUGUAAUAGUCCAACAACAUACAGCGUUUAUGGUACCUUUUGUGAAAUUCUUUAAGUCUCAUCUUGAAUCUGUUCCCAGAUGAUGAUUCUUCUCCUUCAUAUGAAGGAACUACAUAGCCAUUGUUCCCCUCAAACCUCUGGAACCAGUAAAGAAAACAAAUUUGGUUUGUCAAAUUAAAAAUAAUAAUUUUUUACAGGAUAACUUCAACACCAGUAAAAUUACUUCCCAAGGGAUCAGGGAUAAAGGUCAUCUUUUUUGUUGUUAGUUGGGUAGGACCCACACAAUUUAUAGGAAGCAGUAAAUUAUAUAAACUGAUUCACCAAUGCAUCAUCACCGGACUGCAGGCAGGUGGGCUAUAAGAUUAUCUACUAAUGAACUUACUUCACUCAAUGAGUUGUCAUGACCAUCACCGACAACUUGUAAAGCUUCUAGCAUGGUACCUGUUGAUCCUCCUAUCAGCAAGACCUGCAAAGUGUCCAUACUCCUAGACAUGUCAGACAUCUAAACGAACUUAAGAUUGUUCAUAUAUUCUACUAUGGGUCUUAGUGGCAACUUGGCCCUGCUCCAUUCGGUUUUUGUCAAUAUGUAAUUCUCUUGAAUAUAAUGGCUGUUAGACAAAGAAAUAUACAUGUAGGAAAAAUAGCACCACAUAAUCAUCAAAUUUCGGUCAGCAAUAACAAAUACAUAGGAUAAAUGGAUAUGGAAAAUCAUUCAUUCUUUUAUUACUAAAAGAAUGUGUCAUAUCUCACACCUUUGGGGCAUAAUAAGAAAAUGGAAAGAGAAAAAAGCAAAAAAAAAUCAAUUUAGAACUCUUGAUGCGAAGAGCUCAAUGAGUUAAUUAAAUAACUUUAUGCUUCUUCACUCUUGCUGUGCUUGACAGUUAUUACUCCGGUGUAAUUGGAUCAAAGCCCCCCUUAGGCUGCACUCUUUUACCUGAAAAUGAUGAACGAUAAUUGGAAAGGUUAUAAUUUUGUGAGAAGAUGAUCAUAACAUUCUGCAGCAGUUACCUUCCAACUUUUUUUUCUUCAUGGAUUGAGUUAAUUUUGAAAUGAUUCUUCGACAUCAAAGAGGUAAAAUGAACAAAAAUUAUUAAAGGAUAUGCUAAAUGAAAGAAGAAGAAACCAAAAUAAAAAAAUAGUAAACAAUACUUGGAGGAAAUAUGUCAAUGGAGAAUGAAGUUUCCUAAUAAGACGCUAUUGGUUGAGUCAUAGAUGGACAAACCUGUGCUGUAUAUUUCUUGGAUAGUAAGUCCCCACAUUCCUCAAUAAGGGCUCUUUCUCCACUAACCACCCGAGCUAGUUCAGAAAUUGAGGUAUCCACUUCUUCAGCCUGCAUUGAAGAUGUGCAUUUUUAACACAGGCAUGCAUUUAUAUCAUCUAUAUAAACACAAUACAUCUACAAUUGUAUGACUUCCUUUCACAUUUACAGGACCUGCCAACAAUUAAUAGAAAAAGAAAUCAAAAUAUUCUAAACAGUAUGAUUUCCUCAACAUUUGUGCAUUCUAUAGCGUGUUUUUAACAUAGAUAUCACGUGAAUUUAUGGGAUAAAUGCCUGGCAUUUUGUCUCACCUUUGGCAUAAGUCUCAGGACAUGGGAAACUAUCAGUUCCAUCACCUUUACAGCUGAGCUCAAAGCCUCCUGCAAGUCUUUCACUUCAACCUGGAAAAGUUACCCCAUAGUUUCACAGUUCUUUACAUAAAUUUAACAAAUAUGGAUAAAAUUUAUGCGAUUAGUUAGCAGAAUAUGUCUCACCUGGACCUCUCCACUGACUGGAACUCUUAGGGAGGAAUUUAAUAGAGCAUUUGAUAUGCCUGAUAAAGAAGUUAAAAAAUCCUCUUCCAAAGCAGACCAUGCAUCCAGAUACGGCAUCUAAUAUAAUAGCAAAGUACGUGAGCACCGAAGCCGAAAGAAUAAAAUUGUAAGAACAACAAAAAGUUCUCCGAACAACCGAAGUUCCUCUUUCAAAGGUGCAAAAACCAUUAAGAAGAUAACGAAUGCAACAAAAAUGACAACUCUGUUUUUUCUUUAAGUUUCUUGACCAUUUCAUGUCUCUUCUUAAUGAGGCCAUUCGAUUUUCUAAAAACGAGUGAUAACUGUAAUGACCAACAUAACAGGGACAAAAUAAUAGAAAAAAUCAAAAGGAAUAUCAAUCAUGUUAUUUGACAUCUGGGAUAUUCAAUUGAUGAAUGAGUAACAAACCAUCUUCCAAAUGCAAAUGACAUGGCUUGUUAAGGUAUUGUAAGGAUAUCUUUUCAACUACACAUUCUGCAGUGUUUAUACAUAUAAUUGAAAGUUGGCCUAUAAUUCAAUAGUAUAUCCAGGAAAGCUCUUAAAAGUGAAUAUCUUUUCAUGAUUGUCAUCUAGAAUAGAAACAUGCAUGUAUAAAAUAUUUCAUUUCAAGUCACAACAUAAGAUGAGCAAUAAACUCAAAGCCUGACCAAGCCUUACUUGAGCUUCAACAAUCAUGGAUAAAGUCUUAAUUCCUUGCAGCAUCCCAAGUUCACUACGCUUCUUUUUCACUUCAUCACGUAAAUCAGAUAUCUUGCUUCCCAUAGAGUAAAGUUUUAUCUGCACAUAAAUGGGGGGAAAAACAUGAUUUAUAAUUCAAUAUUAGACUAUUAAAAAGAGCAAGUCCUUUAUCCAUGCUGUUUCUUGUAAUGCAAAUUAAAGAGACAUUUUGAAGAAGAGUGAUGGAUUAUAGGACUAAAAUGAGGGAAUAAUCAGAAUUAUAAUACAGAUAUCCUAGAAUUUCAAAGGAGAAUGGAGAUAAACCUCAGCAUCCCUUUUUUGAGUAUUGACAGUUGCCUCUGCUUUUGCAUUGGCUAAUCGCCACUGCAGAUAAUGGUUGUAAAGCAUCUUGAGAGAAUGCACAUCUUCUUGAUGAUUAGAGACCUUCCUUCCUUUCCUUGCGUCCAUUCCCAGUCUCACACACGAUGCUGGAUGAGGAGGCAGGCAAAGACUUCCGCCCAUCUUUACAGACGAUGAAAAAUUCAGUGAGCGAGCACAAUCACUAGUGACUUUACCCUCAUUGUUAGAACUCCUCUCAGCAAGCCAUUUAUCCACAUCUGACACAGAAGAGCGCGUCUCAGGAAGACUCCGGGUCGCCUUGCUAGUCUGCAUAAACAGUGGAGAACUGGGGCACGAAGAACUACCUUGGCUACUAGCAGUACUGCAAGAAUCCGAAUCGUCAUAUCUAGAUGUUGAAAUUCUAGAAAGCUUUUUGUCCACAGUUUCUCUGUAAUUGUUGCUACCAGAAGUCGCUUCUUGCAAUAGCCUAGUGGCCGCCGUAACGGCCGUGCAUCCAUUAAUACUAAUAUUCAUCGGAUUGCCACGAUUACCACUAUGGGGAGUUUGCCUAUACCGCGAUGGGACAACCCGAUCGGUACCAAUCGCAAUCGGCGUGUCCGGCCUCGAAGAAAUUCUAACAACCGAUGCCGCUUGCUGCUGUUGAUUUUGUUCACCAUUUUCCUUAAAAUGCCUAAAUCGUUGCUGUUGCUGCUGUUUCUUUUGAACAGUAGCUACACUAUUUGUUGCUAACGAUCUAUUGUGUGAUACCGUCUGGGGUGGAACGAGCAGGGUGUCUAGGCUUCGAGUGGUUUCCGGUACUUGAUUCUCGUCGCGUGAUAAUUGCCUGCGGUGGACUGAUUUUGAUCGCGAAUUUUCAGAAGGUGUAGGGGUUGGGGUUGCGUUGGAAUGAAUCAAAGGUGACAUGAAUCGCGAACUGACUUCCCGCACCCUUGGCCGCCGUUGGGGUAGCGACGGAACUCCAACUUCCGCCGAUGCUUCGGCUGCACUUCCGGCAGUCGAUUCGGUCAUUUCUCUUCAACUUUGCCGGAUUUCGAGGGGAAGAUUACUCCAACGCCAACAAAGAUUAACGAUAAAAAAUUUGUAGCGAUCGGAUUCGAAAUGCCGACGGGAGAAAUGGAGAAGGGGGCAGGGGAUUUUCGUGUAAAGGAAAGGUUGAAAAACUAGCCGUUAUGGGUUUAGAAUUGUAUAUAUAUACGAGGAUGGGGACGUUAACGGAUCUUUUUCUCGGGUGGGCAGUGAUGUGGGUAAGACUGGAGAUUACAUCCGGGACCGGGUUAAUUAUGUGGUUAACGGAUAUACUGCUUUUAAAUGUAAUAUUAAUAGGCACCUUUGAACUUUUACCUCUCAAACUUUGUAAAAUAUAACAAAGUUAUCCUCAAUUAUUUUUCAAAAAUAAAUCUCCCUUGAAACAAUUAAAUAUUUAUUAACACAUAAAAAAAAUUAAAAAAAAAUUUGAUUUUAGAAAUUUUAUCUCUUCCAACCAAGUUCACCCGCACACGCUGUCAACACCCGAUUUUCUCUAAAUACCCAAUUAGAGGCAGCGAUAUGGAGCUAAUUUGCCUAGAAGAUGGAGCUGACCAAGUACUACAUAUCGACAAGGAGAUGGGAAUAUUUUGUUAAUAGUAUUACUAUCUAGCAUUUCAUUUUCCUUCACUCAGGUUCAUGUCGUAGCCGAGUCUCAUUAGAGUCGCCCUGUCAAGUCAACGAGUUCGGCUAUACACGUGAGGGCGUGUAAGACAAAAUUAAACAUCUUGCAUUGCAUUAUUCAUCUUAUUCUUUCAAGCCUUAAUGCAAAAGUUAAAAGCAAAGGACGAAACGAAUGAGAAUAGUUAAUUUGGCUCAAAGUGAAGCAAAAUCAGGAAUGACGUAACAUAUUGAACAUGUACAGCCACUCGAUAAAUCUCAUUUGCCAGUACAGAGCACUUCACACACCAUGUGCAGAAACUAGGUUGUUCUGAUUGAAAUAGAUCAACCUAUUUUGACUUCCUGUUUCCAUACUAAAUCAUAGAGCCAGCGAUCGUAUAGAGGUAUGCUCCUAAAGACGAAGAUGUUCACAUAUUAUGGCAAAUUGGUGGUACAUAAGACAAUUCAAUCAAUGAUUAGUUGGGAGUUCAGUCAUGGCUUCAAAAAUUCCCUCUUCUGGGGUCGUGAAAAAGCUCAUC